rnacentral:lncRNA from 1 species
CAGGUUUCAGCCCUAGGCAGGCUGCUGGCUCCAACAGCUUCUCCUACCAGUAUUGCUCUAAAGGAACACCUGAGGCUGGAUAAUUUGUGAAGAAAAAAGGUUUCUUUGGCUCAUGGCUCUGCAGGCUGUACAGGAAGCAUGGUGCCAGCAUCUGCUUCUGGUGAGGGCUUCAGGCUGCUUCCACUCGUGAUGGAAGGAUUCUGGAUGGUUUAGAGAAUCACCAGGAAGUCAGGAACAAAGAGUUCCUGGGCAGCUGGCACCACAGUGCAGAUCAUGACAUGGAACACAGAGGAAUGGCUGCUGCCAUCUUUGACCAUGGGAUGCCACAUCUCGAAACACCAACUCUGCUGGUCCCCAGAGCCCAGAUACAGCUACUUGUGCUUCUAUCACCGUGUCCCUGGAAACAGAUGUUGCUGCUAUUACUGGAACUGCCAUAAAAGAUUCUCUGCUGCCUGGCUUUUUUGCUCCCCAAUCUGAGCUUAUGAUAAAUGCCUCACUGUUGCUGCAAGGAGGGGGCCAAUACCCAGGACAGUAAGCACUUGGCCUUUCUUCCAUUUCUACCGUGAAAGAUGGCUCUGCCUCCCACCCAAACUCAGAAAGCGGGGAAUUUCCCAAACAUUGGAAAACCUUCAGAUGUGGAGUGCCCUCCCACUAAAAACAUUCCCAUCACUGUCCACUUGCAUCAUUUAGUCCUAGCAUUUUAAAGAAGGUCCCCUUUAGGAACUGAUUUUGAAUCUUCAUAAAUGAUUUUCCUGCUCCUCUUGAGAUAAUCAUAUGGUUUCUCUUAUUUGACCCAUUGAUAUGUUCUAUAAACAGAUUUACUAAUAUUAAAACAGCUUUGCAUUCUUCGGUAAACCCUA